AUUGAACGCUGGCGGCAUGCCUUACACAUGCAAGUCGAACGGUAACAGGUCUUCGGAUGCUGACGAGUGGCGAACGGGUGAGUAAUACAUCGGAACGUGCCCGAUCGUGGGGGAUAACGGAGCGAAAGCUUUGCUAAUACCGCAUACGAUCUACGGAUGAAAGCAGGGGACCGCAAGGCCUUGCGCGGACGGAGCGGCCGAUGGCAGAUUAGGUAGUUGGUGGGAUAAAAGCUUACCAAGCCGACGAUCUGUAGCUGGUCUGAGAGGACGACCAGCCACACUGGGACUGAGACACGGCCCAGACUACUACGGGAGGCAGCAGUGGGGAAUUUUGGACAAUGGGCGAAAGCCUGAUCCAGCCAUGCCGCGUGCAGGAUGAAGGCCUUCGGGUUGUAAACUGCUUUUGUACGGAACGAAAAGCCUCUUUCUAAUACAGGGGGCUCAUGACGGUACCGUAAGAAUAAGCACCGGCUAACUACGUGCCAGCAGCCGCCGUAAGAC
rnacentral:rRNA from 1 species